rnacentral:rRNA from 1 species
CCUACGGGCGGCAGCAGUGGGGAAUAUUGCACAAUGGGGGGAACCCUGAUGCAGCGACGCCGCGUGGGUGAAGGAGUACUUCGGUACGUAAAGCCCUAUCAGCAGGAAAGAAAAUGACGGUACCUGACUAAGAAGCCCCGGCUAACUACGUGCCAGCAGCCGCGGUAAUACGUAGGGGGCAAGCGCUAUCCGGAUUUACUGGGUGUAAAGGGAGCGUAGACGGUUAUGUAAGUCUGGAGUGAAAGCCCGGGGCCCAACCCCGGGACUGCUUUGGAAACUGUGUAACUGGAGUACAGGAGGGGCAGGCGGAAUUCCUGGUGUAGCGGUGAAAUGCGUAGAUAUCAGGAGGAACACCGGCGGCGAAGGCGGCCUGCUGGACUGAAACUGACGUUGAGGCUCGAAAGCGUGGGGAGCAAACAGGAUUAGAUACCCGAGUAGUC